rnacentral:rRNA from 1 species
GGGUUGUGAGGUUAAGCGACUAAGCGUACACGGUGGAUGCCCUGGCAGUCAGAGGCGAUGAAGGGCGUGCUAAUCUGCGAUAAGCGCCGGUAAGGUGAUAUGAACCGUUAUAACCGGCGAUACCCGAAUGGGGAAACCCAGUGUGAUUCGUCACACUAUCAUUAACUGAAUCCAUAGGUUAAUGAGGCGAACCGGGGGAACUGAAACAUCUAAGUACCCCGAGGAAAAGAAAUCAACCGAGAUUCCCCCAGUAGCGGCGAGCGAACGGGGAGGAGCCCAGAGCCUGAAUCAGCAUGUGUGUUAGUGGAAGCGUCUGGAAAGGCGCGCGAUACAGGGUGACAGCCCCGUACACAAAAGCGCAUGUGCUGUGAGCUCGAUGAGUAGGGCGGGACACGUGGUAUCCUGUCUGAAUAUGGGGGGACCAUCCUCCAAGGCUAAAUACUCCUGACUGACCGAUAGUGAACCAGUACCGUGAGGGAAAGGCGAAAAGAACCCCGGCGAGGGGAGUGAAAAAGAACCUGAAACCGUGUACGUACAAGCAGUGGGAGCCCGUCACUGCGUACCUUUUGUAUAAUGGGUCAGCGACUUAUAUUCUGUAGCAAGGUUAACCGAAUAGGGGAGCCGGAGGGAAACCGAGUCUUAAUUGGGCGUUAAGUUGCAGGGUAUAGACCCGAAACCCGGUGAUCUAGCCAUGGGCAGGUUGAAGGUUGGGUAACACUAACUGGAGGACCGAACCGACUAAUGUUGAAAAAUUAGCGGAUGACCUGUGGCUGGGGGUGAAAGGCCAAUCAAACCGGGAGAUAGCUGGUUCUCCCCGAAAGCUAUUUAGGUAGCGCCUCGUGAAUUCAUCUCCGGGGGUAGAGCACUGUUUCGGCUAGGGGGCCAUCCCGGCUUACCAACCCGAUGCAAACUGCGAAUACCGGAGAAUGUUAUCACGGGAGACACACGGCGGGUGCUAACGUCCGUCGUGAAGAGGGAAACAACCCAGACCGCCAGCUAAGGUCCCAAAGUCAUGGUUAAGUGGGAAACGAUGUGGGAAGGCCCAGACAGCCAGGAUGUUGGCUUAGAAGCAGCCAUCAUUUAAAGAAAGCGUAAUAGCUCACUGGUCGAGUCGGCCUGCGCGGAAGAUGUAACGGGGCUAAACCAUGCACCGAAGCUGCGGCAGCGAUCGUUGGGUAGGGGAGCGUUCUGUAAGCCUGUGAAGGUGGCCUGUGAGGGUUGCUGGAGGUAUCAGAAGUGCGAAUGCUGACAUAAGUAACGAUAAAGCGGGUGAAAAGCCCGCUCGCCGGAAGACCAAGGGUUCCUGUCCAACGUUAAUCGGGGCAGGGUGAGUCGACCCCUAAGGCGAGGCCGAAAGGCGUAGUCGAUGGGAAACGGGUUAAUAUUCCCGUACUUGGUGUUACUGCGAAGGGGGGACGGAGAAGGCUAUGUUGGCCGGGCGACGGUUGUCCCGGUUUAAGCGUGUAGGUGUGUGUUCCAGGUAAAUCCGGUUCACUUUAACACUGAGGCGUGACGACGAGGCACUACGGUGCUGAAGCAACAAAUGCCCUGCUUCCAGGAAAAGCCUCUAAGCAUCAGGUAACAUCAAAUCGUACCCCAAACCGACACAGGUGGUCAGGUAGAGAAUACCAAGGCGCUUGAGAGAACUCGGGUGAAGGAACUAGGCAAAAUGGUGCCGUAACUUCGGGAGAAGGCACGCUGACACGUAGGUGAAGUGAUUUACUCAUGGAGCUGAAGUCAGUCGAAGAUACCAGCUGGCUGCAACUGUUUAUUAAAAACACAGCACUGUGCAAACACGAAAGUGGACGUAUACGGUGUGACGCCUGCCCGGUGCCGGAAGGUUAAUUGAUGGGGUCAGCGCAAGCGAAGCUCCUGAUCGAAGCCCCGGUAAACGGCGGCCGUAACUAUAACGGUCCUAAGGUAGCGAAAUUCCUUGUCGGGUAAGUUCCGACCUGCACGAAUGGCGUAAUGAUGGCCAGGCUGUCUCCACCCGAGACUCAGUGAAAUUGAACUCGCUGUGAAGAUGCAGUGUACCCGCGGCAAGACGGAAAGACCCCGUGAACCUUUACUAUAGCUUGACACUGAACAUUGAGCCUUGAUGUGUAGGAUAGGUGGGAGGCUUUGAAGUGUGGACGCCAGUCUGCAUGGAGCCGACCUUGAAAUACCACCCUUUAAUGUUUGAUGUUCUAACGUGGACCCGUGAUCCGGGUUGCGGACAGUGUCUGGUGGGUAGUUUGACUGGGGCGGUCUCCUCCUAAAGAGUAACGGAGGAGCACGAAGGUUGGCUAAUCCUGGUCGGACAUCAGGAGGUUAGUGCAAUGGCAUAAGCCAGCUUGACUGCGAGCGUGACGGCGCGAGCAGGUGCGAAAGCAGGUCAUAGUGAUCCGGUGGUUCUGAAUGGAAGGGCCAUCGCUCAACGGAUAAAAGGUACUCCGGGGAUAACAGGCUGAUACCGCCCAAGAGUUCAUAUCGACGGCGGUGUUUGGCACCUCGAUGUCGGCUCAUCACAUCCUGGGGCUGAAGUAGGUCCCAAGGGUAUGGCUGUUCGCCAUUUAAAGUGGUACGCGAGCUGGGUUUAGAACGUCGUGAGACAGUUCGGUCCCUAUCUGCCGUGGGCGCUGGAGAACUGAGGGGGGCUGCUCCUAGUACGAGAGGACCGGAGUGGACGCAUCACUGGUGUUCGGGUUGUCAUGCCAAUGGCACUGCCCGGUAGCUAAAUGCGGAAGAGAUAAGUGCUGAAAGCAUCUAAGCACGAAACUUGCCCCGAGAUGAGUUCUCCCUGAGACUUAGAGUCUCCUGAAGGAACGUUGAAGACGACGACGUUGAUAGGCCGGGUGUGUAAGCGCAGCGAUGCGUUGAGCUAACCGGUACUAAUGAACCGUGAGGCUUAACCUUACAACGCCGAAG